AUAAUAAUUAGGUUUUUAAUUGAAAUCUAGAAUGAAUGAUUGGACGAGAUACAGGCUGUUUUAUAAUAAUUAAUUAAAAUUUAAUUUUUUAGUCAAAAAGCUAAAAUUUUAUUAAAAGACGAGAAGACCCUAUAAAUCUUUAUAAUAAAUUUAUUUUAAUGAAUUAUUUUAUUUAAAUUAAUAGUUUUAAUAAUAAAUUAUUUUAUUGGGGUGAUACAAAAAUUUAAUUAACUUUUUUAUUUAUAUUACUUAAAUUAAAGAUUUAUAAAAAUUUGAUCUACUAUUAGUAAUUCAGAGAAUAAGAUACUUUAGGGAUAACAGCGUAAUUUUAAUUUUAAGUUCUCAUUAAAAUUAAAGAUUGC
rnacentral:rRNA from 1 species